rnacentral:rRNA from 1 species
GCCUGUCCCAGUUCGGACUGGAGCUGCAACCCGACUCCACGAAGUUGGAUUCGCUAGUAAUCGCGCAUCAGCCAUGGCGCGGUGAAUACGUUCCCGGGCCUUGUACACACCGCCCGUCAAGCCAUGGGAGCCGGGGGCGCCUGAAGUCCAGGACCGCGAGGACCGGCCUAGGGCGAAACUGGUAACUGGGGCUAAGUCGUAACAAGGUAAC